rnacentral:misc_RNA from 1 species
GAUGAAGAACGUAGCGAAAUGCGAUAACUAAUGUGAAUUGCAGAAUUCAGUGAAUCAUCGAGUCUUUGAACGCACAUUGCGCCCCCUGGUAUUCCGGGGGGCAUGCCUGUCCGAGCGUCAUUGCUGCCCUCAAGCACGGCUUGUGUGUUGGGCCUCCGUCCUCCUCCCGGGGGACGGGCCCGAAAGGCAGCGGCGGCACCGCGUCCGGUCCUCGAGCGUAUGGGGCUUCGUCACCCGCUCUUGUAGGCCCGGCCGGCGCUUGCCGACACAUCAAUCUUUUUUCCAGGUUGACCUCGGAUCAGGUAGGGAUACCCGCUGAACUUAAGCAUAUCAUAAGCGGAGGA